rnacentral:rRNA from 1 species
AGAGUUUGAUCAUGGCUCAGAACGAACGCUGGCGGCAGGCUUAACACAUGCAAGUCGAGCGCCCCGCAAGGGGAGCGGCGCACGGGUGAGUAACGCGUGGGAACAUGCCCUUCGGUACGGGAUAACACCGGGAAACUGGUGCUAAUACCGUAUAUGCCUCUGGGUGAAAGAAUUUCGCCGAAGGAGUGGCCCGCGUUCGAUUAGCUUGUUGGUGGGGUAAUGGCCUACCAAGGCGACGAUCGAUAGCUGGUCUGAGAGGAUGAUCAGCCACACUGGGACUGAGACACGGCCCAGACUCCUACGGGAGGCAGCAGUGGGGAAUAUUGGACAAUGGACGCAAGUCUGAUCCAGCCAUGCCGCGUGAGUGAUGAAGGCCUUCGGGUUGUAAAGCUCUUUCGCGACCGACGAUGAUGACGGUAGGUCGAGAAGAAGCCCCGGCUAACUUCGUGCCAGCCGCCGCGGUAAUAC